rnacentral:rRNA from 1 species
CCUGGUUGAUCCUGCCAGUAGUCAUAUGCUUGUCUCAAAGAUUAAGCCAUGCAUGUGUAAGCACACACUGUUUUAAAAGUGAAGCCGCGAAUGGCUCAUUACAACAGCCACAGUUUAUUAGAACUUACAUACAUGGAUAACUGUGGUAAUUCUAGAGCUAAUACACGCACAAAAACUUCAACUGAAUUGGUUGAAGUGCUUUUAUUAGAACAAAAACCGAACGGCGUUCGACUUGUGUUGAACGUCGAAACUCUUUGGUGAAUCUGAAUAACUAUUUCUGAUCGCAUGGUCUAGCACCGGCGACAUCACUUUCAAGUGUCUGCCUUAUCAACCUUCGAUGGUAGUCUAUGCGACUACCAUGGUGAUAACGGGUAACGGAGAAUCAGGGUUCGACUCCGGAGAGGGAGCCUGAGAAACGGCUACCACAUCCAAGGAAGGCAGCAGGCGCGCAAAUUACCCACUCCCAGCUUGGGGAGGUAGUGACGAAAAAUAACGAGACGAUUCUCGUUUGAGAAACGUUAUCGAAAUGAGUACGCUUUACACACGCUAACGAGUAGCAAUUGGAGGGCAAGUCUGGUGCCAGCAGCCGCGGUAAUUCCAGCUCCAAUAGCGUAUAUUAAAGUUGCUGCAGUUAAAAAGCUCGUAGUUGGAUCUUGGGAGCGGGCGGGCGGUCCGCCGCGAGGCGAGUCACCGCCCGUCCCCGCCCCUUGCCUCUCGGCGCCCCCUCGAUGCUCUUAGCUGAGUGUCCCGCGGGGCCCGAAGCGUUUACUUUGAAAAAAUUAGAGUGUUCAAAGCAGGCCCGAGCCGCCUGGAUACCGCAGCUAGGAAUAAUGGAAUAGGACCGCGGUUCUAUUUUGUUGGUUUUCGGAACUGAGGCCAUGAUUAAGAGGGACGGCCGGGGGCAUUCGUAUUGCGCCGCUAGAGGUGAAAUUCUUGGACCGGCGCAAGACGGACCAGAGCGAAAGCAUUUGCCAAGAAUGUUUUCAUUAAUCAAGAACGAAAGUUAGAGGUUCGAAGGCGAUCAGAUACCGCCCUAGUUCUAACGGUAAACUAUGCCAACCAGCGAUUCGCCGAAGUUCAUUUAAGACUCGGCGAGCAGCUUCCGGGAAACCAAAGUGUUUCGGUUCCGGGGGAAGUAUGGUUGCAAAGCUGAAACUUAAAGGAAUUGACGGAAGGGCACCACCAGGAGUGGAGCCUGCGGCUUAAUUUGACCCAACACGGGAAAACUCACCCGGCCCGGACACUGAAAGGAUUGACAGAUUGACAGCUCUUUCUUGAUUCAGUGGGUAGUGGUGCAUGGCCGUUCUUAGUUGGUGGAGCGAUUUGUCUGGUUAAUUCCGAUAACGAACGAGACUCUACCCUAUUAAAUAGUGACAGUAUUGCAUAUUCUGUGCUGAUCACUUCUUAGAGGGACUGGCAAAUUGAAAGCUGCACGAAAAAGAGCAAUAACAGGUCUGUGAUGCCCUUCGAUGUCCGGGGCUGCACGCGCGCUACAAUGAAAGCGUCAACGUGAGUUACGUCCUUACCUGAAAAGGUUUGGCAAUCGAUUGAAACGUUUUCUUGAAUGGAAUAGGGAAUUGCAAUUGUUUCCCUUGAACGAGGAAUUCCCAGUAAGCGUGAGUCAUUAGCUCGCGUUGAUUACGUCCCUGCCCUUUGUACACACCGCCCGUCGCUACUACCGAUUGGAUGAUUUAGUGAGGUGUUUUGACUAGCGCCUGUAGUCGGAUGUAUAUUCGGCUUCGCGCCGGGAAAUUUCCCAAACCAAAUCAUCUAGAGGAAGUAAAAGUCGUAACAAGGUUUCCGUAGGUGAACCUGCGGAAG